AUUGAACGCUGGCGGCAGGCUUAACACAUGCAAGUCGAGCGAGCGGCGGAAGGAAGAGUAAUGUAUGGGAAACUGCCUGAUGGAUGGGGAUAACAACCGGAAACGGUAGCUAAUCCCGUCUACCAUCGGAUGUGCCCAGAUGGGAUUAGAUAGUAGGUGGGGUAAAGGCUCACCGAGGCGACGAUCCCUAGCUGGUCUGAGAGGAUGACCAGUCACACUGGAACUGAGACACGGUCCAGACUCCUACGGGAGGCAGCAGUGGGGAAUAUUGCACAAUGGGCGCAAGCCUGAUUCAGCCAUGCCGCGUGUAUGAAGAAGGCCUUAGGGUUGUAAAGUACUUUCAGCGGGGAGGCGUUGCCCGCAGAAGAAGCACCGGCUAACUCCGUGCCAGCAGCCGCGGUAAUAC
rnacentral:rRNA from 1 species